rnacentral:rRNA from 1 species
AUUGAACGCUGGCGGCAUGCUUUACACAUGCAAGUCGAACGGUAACAGGGAGCUUGCUCCGCUGACGAGUGGCGAACGGGUGAGUAAUGCGUCGGAACGUGCCGAGUAGUGGGGGAUGACGCAUCGAAAGGUGUGCUAAUAACGCAUACGAACUGAGGUUGAAAGUGGGGGACCUUCGGGCCUCACGCUAUUCGAGCGGCCGACGUCUGAUUAGCUAGUUGGUGGGGUAAAGGCUCACCAAGGCGACGAUCAGUAGCGGGUCUGAGAGGAUGAUCCGCCACACUGGGACUGAGACACGGCCCAGACUCCUACGGGAGGCAGCAGUGGGGAAUUUUGGACAAUGGGCGCAAGCCUGAUCCAGCCAUGCCGCGUGUCUGAAGAAGGCCUUCGGGUUGUAAAGGACUUUUGUCCGGGAGCAAAUGCUGGUGGCUAACAUCCACCGGAGCUGAGAGUACCGGAAGAAUAAGCACCGGCUAACUACGUGCCAGCCGCCGCCGUAAGAC